rnacentral:rRNA from 1 species
AAUAAGAGGUCCCGCCUGCCCAGUGACUAUAUGUUUAACGGCCGCGGUAUUUUGACCGUGCAAAGGUAGCGCAAUCACUUGUCUUUUAAAUGGAGACCUGUAUGAAUGGCAUCACGAGGGCUUAACUGUCUCCUUUCUUUAGCCAAUGAAAUUGAUCUCCCCGUGCAGAAGCGGGGAUAAACCCAUAAGACGAGAAGACCCUAUGGAGCUUUAGACACUAAAGCAGUUUACGUCAAACACCUCUGAAUAAAGAACCAAACUGAGUAAGCCCUGCCCUAAUGUCUUCGGUUGGGGCGACCCCGGGGAAAUAAGUAACCCCCAUGAGGAAUGGAAGCAUGCUUCCAAAACCAAGAGCCACUGCUCUAAGCAUCAGAACUUCUGACCAUCAGAUCCGGCAAAGCCGAUCAACGGACCGAGUUACCCUAGGGAUAACAGCGCAAUCCCCUUAUAGAGUCCCUAUCGACAAGGGGGUUUACGACCUCGAUGUUGGAUCAGGACAUCCUAAUGGUGCAGCCGCUAUUAAGGGUUCGUUUGUUCAACGAUUAAAGUCCU